rnacentral:rRNA from 1 species
UACGUAGGGUGCAAGCGUUGUCCGGAAUUAUUGGGCGUAAAGAGCUCGUAGGCGGUCCGUCACGUUGGCUGUGAAAACCUGGGGCUCAACCCCGGGCCUGCAGCCGAUACGGGCGGACUAGAAUUCGGUAGGGGAGACUGGAAUUCCUGGUGUAGCGGUGAAAUGCGCAGAUAUCAGGAGGAACACCGGUGGCGAAGGCGGGUCUCUGGGCCGAUAUUGACGCUGAGGAGCGAAAGCGUGGGGAGCGAACAGG